rnacentral:lncRNA from 1 species
AAGAAUUAAAAAUACUCCUCCACAGGAACACUCAUAACAGAAUUCUUCAAGCACCAGAUCUGACUAGAAAUUUCGAAAACACAAAGACAAUGCCACUUCCGCACACAACUAAUCUACAAAUAAAAGCAAUCUACACUAGAUCCCCACAUAAGCCAGCCGCACCAGUCAGCAAAGAGCCAACAAAAUAACAACUUCCUUCUUCAAAAACUAUAGCAAAACAACCAGCAUACCAGAACUAUUAGAGACCAAUAAUCCAAGCCACCAAGUAUAUAUUAAAAACAGAAUAACCCCAACAAAAUAAUUUACCAACUUGUGGCAAAGAAACCAGGCAA